UCCGUGUUAACCACGGCAGUCUCGCCAGACAUAUCUAACUGGCAAUAAGGGUUGCGCUCGUUAUCGGACUUAACCGUACAUUUCACAACACGAGCUGACGACAACCGUGCAGCACCUGUCUCUGCCGUCGUAAGAGGGGCUCUAUUUCUAGUGCCUUUCAGCAGGAUGUCAAAUCUGGGUGAGGUGCCCGGCUUACCAUCCAAUUAAACCACAUGCUCCACCGCUUGUGCGGGUCCCCGUCAAUUCCUUUGAGUUUUAAUCUUGCGAUCGUACUCCCCAGGCGGGUCACUUAACGCGUUAGCUUCGGCACUGGGGGGGUCGAAACCGCCAAUGCCUAGUGACCAUCGUUUAGGGCGUGGACUAC
rnacentral:misc_RNA from 1 species